rnacentral:rRNA from 1 species
UACGGAGGGGGCUAGCGUUGUUCGGAAUUACUGGGCGUAAAGCGCACGUAGGCGGCUUAGCAAGUCCCAUGUGAAAGCCCCGCGGCUUAACCGUGGAAGUGCAUGGGAAACUGCUGAGCUUGAGUACUUAAGAGGAUCGCGGAAUUCCCGGUGUAGAGGUGAAAUUCGUAGAUAUCGGGAGGAACACCAGUGGCGAAGGCGGCGUCCUGGGACGUGUCUGACUGACU